UUCCUACGGGACGCAGCAGUGAGGAAUAUUGGUCAAUGGGCGGGAGCCUGAACCAGCCAAGUCGCGUGAGGGAAGAAGGCCCUGCGGGUCGCAGACCUCUUUGGACGGGGAGCAAGGCCGCCGACGUGUCGGCGGAAGGAGAGUACCCGUAGAACAAGCAUCGGCUAACUCCGUGCCAGCAGCCGCGGUAAUACGGAGGAUGCGAGCGUUAUCCGGAUUUAUUGGGUUUAAAGGGUGCGUAGGCGGAUCGUUAAGUCAGUGGUCAAAUUGAGGGGCUCAACCCCUUCCCGCCAUUGAAACUGGCG
rnacentral:rRNA from 1 species